rnacentral:rRNA from 1 species
UUCGGGAUGCACCUCAAUUGGACCCGAUACCACGCGAGAAUACCCGCUGAACUUCUGCUAU